AUUGAACGCUGGCGGAAUGCUUUACACAUGCAAGUCGAACGGCAGCACGGGGGCAACCCUGGUGGCGAGUGGCGAACGGGUGAGUAAUACAUCGGAACGUGCCCGGUCGUGGGGGAUAGCGUAGCGAAAGUUACGCUAAUACCGCAUACGAUCUGAGGAUGAAAGCGGGGGACCUUCGGGCCUCGCGCGAUCGGAGCGGCCGAUGUCAGAUUAGGUAGUUGGUGGGGUAAAGGCCUACCAAGCCGACGAUCUGUAGCUGGUCUGAGAGGACGACCAGCCACACUGGGACUGAGACACGGCCCAGACUCCUACGGGAGGCAGCAGUGGGGAAUUUUGGACAAUGGGCGCAAGCCUGAUCCAGCCAUUCCGCGUGCAGGACGAAGGCCUUCGGGUUGUAAACUGCUUUUGUAUGGAACGAAAAGGCUCUGGCUAAUACCUGGGGCUCAUGACGGUACCGUAAGAAUAAGCACCGGCUAACUACGUG
rnacentral:rRNA from 1 species